CUCUUAGUUUUGAUUUCACAGGAAGAAGCAGGGGAAAAAUGGCUCACCAAUGAAGAGGAGUGAGACCCACGUGCUAUGAACAAAUGAGGCCAACCUGCUAGAGAAGCAAACAACUCAUUGGGUGCCAGUCCUAGGAGAACUCAGCUACGUUGACAUAUUCAUGGGUUCAUACUGAGCCUUUGCCACACCCAAGAGGUGCUGGACCUCCUGUUUUCAAGCUUCACCCCUUGAAGGCCUUUAGUUCAGGGAGGUUCCCCUGUUACUGAUGGCAUUGGAGGUGCAUGACAACCCAGGGAGUGAGAAGACUCAUGUUGGAGGGACUCUGGACUCCUGCAAGACCACAUGAAGGAGCUCAGUCUCCAAUUUGAAGAUACACUCAGCACUGUCACAUGGGGAAAUCUAUGGUGACAUGCUACCAUAAUUUGGGGAGUAAUUUGGUAAUUCAUCAUAACAUAAUAUACCUACAAAAUGUUGAAAUCAGC